CCUACGGGUGGCUGCAGUGGGGAAUUUUGCGCAAUGGGCGAAAGCCUGACGCAGCAACGCCGCGUGGGUGAUGAAGGUCUUCGGAUCGUAAAACCCUGUCGUUGGGGACGAAGGUGGGGGCGUUAAUAGUGUUUCUGCUUGACGGUACCCGGCGAGGAAGCCCCGGCUAACUCUGUGCCAGCAGCCGCGGUAAUACAGAGGGGGCAAGCGUUAUUCGGAAUUAUUGGGGGUGAAGGGCGCGGUCGCGGGUGUAAGCCCCGAGCUCAACUUGGGAACUGCAGCUGGGACUGGAAGGCUAGAGUACUGGAGAGGGUGGUGGAAUUCCUCGUGUAGCGGUGAAAUGCGUAGAGAUGAGGAGGAACACCAGUGGCGAAGGCGGCCACCUGGACAGUAACUGACGCUGAGGCGCGAAAGUGUGGGUAGCAAACAGGAUUAGAUACCCGUGUAGUC
rnacentral:rRNA from 1 species